ensembl:lncRNA
GGGGGAGCAGGGGAGGGGGACGGGAGAGCCCUGGCUCUGGGGGGAGCAGGGGAGGGGGACAGGAGAGCCCUGGCACUGGGUGGGGGGCAGGAACCCGAACUGAAGAGACCCCAGCUCUGGCAGAGAGGGAGAGUGCAGGAGGCAGUCACCAGAAGUGCUGAUCUGAAGGAGGCGGGAGUGCUCCCAGACAGAGAAGAAUCGCUAACAGGGAGAAGCUCUGGACUGGAGGACGAAAGGUCACGGUCCGUGUCCUUAGACAGCAUCCCCAGAGACCUCAGGUGCCGGGCAUCUGCAGUGAGUCACUGGAUCCCAGAAACUGAUGGCAAGGGUUUUCCUCAGGGCUCAAAUGAGUAGCUGUGGGAGUCAUUCAGGAGGCUGUGAUACCAGGCAGGAUGACAAAGAAAGCAUUCUGGCCAAGAGGACCGACUGCCUGAAGAGUUUCUGCCCUGGGAGAAUGGGAGACGAGACGUCUGCAGAGCAAAAAUCCUGCCCAGGCUGCAGCCAAGGCAGCUGGCCUCCCUGCUCACGGCCUCCCCUAUCCCCUGUCCCCUUCCAUGGCUGUGGUGGUGCUGACCAAGACGGCUGAAUGCAGAGGGUCUGGGUUGGGGGUCAGACACUUUGCAGAUUCACUUGAGACUUGCUCUACUGGAAGGUAUUUUACCUUGAAAGGAACUCCUCACGGACACGACACGCACACACCCCAGCCGCCCCGUAUUCAUCCUUUCCCUGCUCCCCACUGAGGAGGAACAGAGGAGCCCCGCCUGACAAGUCCCAACAAAGCCUGGAUCCUACAGCCCUGUUGAGGAGGAAGACUCUCCUGUGCCCUUGAAGGUCUUCUGGCUGGACUGAGUCAAACUGACCUGAGACAGAUUAACAGGAGAAAACGAAAUUCAAUCGUGUGCAAUGGGCUUCCACACAGACAUUCAAACUCCAACGACGAUGAGGCAACAUGGAGCUUCUGUGAGCUAAGUUGGGGGUCAGGGUCUGAGGAUACAAGGUGGGGAAGGACCUCACAGGAAGGUGGUAGAUAUUUGGAAAACCAAAGUUUGCCUUCUCAAGCAGAUAAGUUUCUGAGAUAAAGGGGAGUCUCAAGCUCUCCUUUCCCAUGUAAAUUUAGGCAGGUGAGGACAGGAAGAGAGUUUUUCCUGCAUUUUGCUGUGUUUUGAUGACUUUUAACUCAAGAUAACGUUCGUGCCUCAGCAGCCCACCUAGUGGCUGCCUGCCCUUGGCCCCUGCACUGGAGAGAUGCUGGCCAGUUGCCUGUGCUGUGUGUUCUGUCUUGCCGCUAGGAAAAAUAAGCCCCAGCUUGUUUAACUACGGGUGUGUUUCUGGAGGUCUUUGGCGAGAGGACAUUGGUAACGUCCUGGGUUCUGUUCUUCAUUCUUGCCCUCUGGGAUCCACGUUGAGGGUCUGGACCUAGGCCAUGUGGGCGAAGAUGGCCAGAAGUGCUGUCACAAGGGACAGAACCAGUUAUGCAUUCACUCAACAAGUAUUUAUGGGCCACCCACACACACCACAGACGGUUCCAGGUGCCAAAGACAAGAGGCAAAUAAAGUGGGAGUCCUGAUUUUGGGGGAACCUCUC